AGGAUGAACGCUGGCGGCGUGCCUAACACAUGCAAGUCGAACGUCCUGUCUCGCAAGAGGCAGGGAGUGGCGGACGGGUGAGUACCACGUGGGUUAUCUACCGUGAGGUGAGGAAUACCGGCGAGAAAUCGCCGACAAGACCGCAUAGGCUCGAUGCAAGUCGAGCAAAGCUCUUUCGAGAGAGGGAGCGCCACACGAGGAGCCUGCGCCCGAUUAGCUAGCUGGUGGAGUAACGGUUCACCAGGGCGACGAUCGGUAGCUGGUCUGAGAGGACGAUCAGCCACACUGGGAUUGAGAACGGCCCAGACUCCUACGGGGGGCAGCAGUGAGGAAUUUUCGCAAUGGGGCAACCCUGAACGAGCAACGCCGCGUGCAGGAGAAGGUUUUCGGAUCGUAAACUGCUUUUCGUCGGGGACGAGCAAGGACGGUACCCGAGGAACGAAGCCCCGGCUAACUACGUGCCAGCAGCCGC
rnacentral:rRNA from 1 species